AGUGUCUUUGUUAACAUAUUCGGCAAAUAGCUAAAAGCCAAAAUGUUCUGCGUGCACUGCGCUCCAAUCAAAUGUCUCUAUUAGUUGGGCUUGGCAACAAAUGCAGCUGAGAUACGCUUCCACACAAAGCAGCUCGCUGUGAGAUCAUAUCAGUGGGGGUUCUGAGUGUUUAUCAAAGAAAUUACUGAUCAUAACAUCACCCACAUUGCUCUCCAAAGAGAUGCCAGACCCAUCUUGCAUAUUAGUCCUUGAUGAGAAAAAUGCAAUUAAAAUGUCAACUACUUUUUAUUAGAAUCUGCCCACCCUGUGGAGCUCAGCGUCCUCUAGAGUCCACUGCAGGCAGUCGAAGGAUGGCACGGCAAAAGGGUUCCGUCAGAGUUUCAGCUGGAGGGGAACAGCCGAUUUGGCUUGUCCUCUGGGGUUGGCGUUAUUGGGAAGCACUCUCUCCCUGCCUCCAUUUCCUGUCCUGUUUAAUCGCUUCCAGGAGGCAUUUUACGCCGAGGCUGUCUUCGAACGAAACGAAGCCCAUCUAAAAAAGAAAAAACACAUAGCAAAACAAAACAAGGGAUGUUAUUCUUCUUUCAGCACAAACAGGGUUCCCGGUACAUGAGCUC
ensembl:lncRNA